GGAAGGGUCAGAGUUCAGGAGUAGAGCGUCUGCCUUGCAUGCCGAAGGUUCCAGGUUUGACUCCUGGCAUUUUCA